GAAACAACAGAGAACUUCUGAUACCAGACCAGAACGGUUUAUUCAGUCCACCAGAGAAAACACAAAGAAAUGGAAGUGUCCAGAUCAACAUCCUGGACCUGAUCAGGCCCUUAAUCCCAACCUUAGAUUCAGUUUCUGCAGCUGAACAGUUAGUCAACAUGAGGGUCUUUAGGUUGUCCAAGACAACCAGAUCCCAGCUGCUGGUGGUCUGGUGGACAAACAAGUAAAAAGACCUGGAUUAAAGUUCUCAGCUGCGACAGAGGUCCACUUGUAAAAACAUAAAAUUAAAUCCAUCCUGGGUACGACUAAAAACUACCACAGUUAAGUUUUAUCCAAUCAGGACAGAGCAAGGCGGGGCCAGGCUGUCUGAUUGACAGCUUGGUUAUAGUCAUGCAUCUGAAUGUCUCCUAAUGGAUAGUACUGUUAGAUACUGGAUAGUGCUGUUAUAUACUGGAUGGUACUGUUAUAUACUGGAUGGUACUGUUAGAUACUGGAUAGUACUGUUAUAUACUGGAUGGUACUGUUAGAUACUGGAUAGUACUGUU